GGCGCGAAAAUUGCCCACUCUUUGCAGGAGGCAGUUAUGAGACGUGAAGAUGAGUAUCUUGUAAAGAGGGAUAGGAGAAUUGGAGGGCAAGUUUGGUGCCAGCAGCCGCGGUAAUACCGACUCCAAGAGUGUGUAUGAGAGAUGCUGCAGUUAAAAAGUCCGUAGUCAUAGAAGGGCAAAGAGAGAUGCGAGGUCUCACAGUGCGAUGAUGGAGGAGCCGAUGGGGAACAUAGUAUACCAGGGCGAGAGAUGAAAUGCCAAGACCCCUGGUGGACUGAGCGAGGCGAAGGCGAUGUUCUUGUAGGCAUUCGGUGAUCAAGGACGAAGGCUGGAGUAUCGAAAGUGAUUAGAUACCGCAGUAGUUCCAGCAGUAAAAGAUGCCGACAUGCUCAUUGGACACAGUGGGCAGGGAGAAAUCUUAGAGUUCGGGCUCUGGGGAUAGUAUGCUCGCAAGGGUGAAAAUUAAAGAAAUUGACGGAGCUACACCACAAGGAGUGGAUUGUGCGGCUUAAUUUGACUCAACGCGAGGAAACUUACCAGGGCCAAGUAUUGUGUAGAAACGAGCAAUACAGGAGUGGUGCAUGGUCGUUGGAAAUUGAUGGGAUGACUUUGACCUUAAAUGGUUGAAUGAGUGAGAUCUUUUGGACAUGUUCCGCACGGAACAGGAAGGAAAAGGCUAUAACAGAUCCGAGAUGCCCUCAGAUGCCUUGGGCUGCACGCGCAAUACAAUAGCAGGUAGAGAGAGAGACAGGAAGGUGCUCAGAUGGACUAUGUGCUGUAAGGCACAUACGAAAGAGGAAUUCCUAGUAAGUGUGUAUCAACAAUGG
rnacentral:rRNA from 1 species